UCCCGCUUGCGCGGGCAGUCUCGUGUGUACAUUUAACACACGACGAGGGUUGCGCUCGUUACCCGACUUAACGGUACACCUCACGGCACGAGCUGACGGCAACCAUGCAGCACCUGUAUAGCACCCUCGAAGGCUAUUCUUGUUUCCAAAAAUAUGCAGCUAUAUGUCAAGCCCUGGUAAGGUUCGCCGCGUACCAUCGAAUUAAACCACAUGAUCCUCUACUUGUGCGGGUCCCCGUCUAUUCCUUUGAGUUUUAGCCUUGCGGCCGUACUACCCAGGUGGCGCACUUAACGCGUUUGCUUUUUUGAACGGCACUGAGAGGGUCGAUACUCCCAAUACCUAGUGCGCAUCGUUUAGGGCGUGGACUAC
rnacentral:misc_RNA from 1 species